rnacentral:rRNA from 1 species
GACGGAGGAUGCAAGCGUUAUCCGGAAUGAUUGGGCGUAAAGCGUCCGCAGGUGGCAGUUCAAGUCUGCUGUCAAAGACCGGGGCUUAACUUCGGAAAGGCAGUGGAAACUGAACAGCUAGAGUAUGGUAGGGGCAGAGGGAAUUCCCGGUGUAGCGGUGAAAUGCGUAGAGAGUCGGGAAGAACAUCGGUGGCGAAGGCGCUCUGCUGGACCAUAACUGACACUCAGGGACGAAAGCUAGGGAGCGAAUGGG